UACGUAGGUGACCAGCGUUGUCCGGAUUUACUGGGCGUAAAGAGCGCGCAGGCGGUCGUUCAAGUCGAGUGUGAAAGCCCCCGGCUCAACUGGGGAGGGUCAUUCGAUACUGAUCGACUUGAAGGCAGGAGAGGGAAGUGGAAUUCCCGGUGUAGUGGUGAAAUGCGUAGAUAUUGGGAGGAACACCAGUGGCGAAGGCGGUCCCCUGGGCCGGAACUGACGCUGAGGCGCGAAAGCGUGGGUAGCAAACGGG
rnacentral:rRNA from 1 species